GCCCCUAUAACUCAAUGGCAGAGUAGCUGCCUCUUAAGCAGUAAAUCCAGGUUCGAAUCCUGGUGGGGGCACCA
rnacentral:tRNA from 1 species